GCCCAAGGCAAUAAUCAUUUCACAGAAAAUGCACCGCCCCGAGUGUCUUAUUGCUGUGAUGAAAUGGAAAUUUAAAUAAAAGGUCGAACACGUGCGUUCACUGGGAAGUAUUGACAUGGGUGUUACAUCACCACCAGCCAAUCAGAUAACUCCAGUCGUGUUUAUACUUCUACAACCACCUUGUCUUCCUGAUAUAUAUAAAGAAAUAUUAAGGUCUUCCUCUAAACCUUAAGGGAGAUGGAAUCAAAAUCAAAGUUCAAGAGGAUAGUAAUCACAAACGUCUCAAAACAGCUCUAAGUAAGAAUAUUGAACUAAUGUUUCCAUCGAAUUUACAUUAAAAACAAUAAUCAUAUACAUACAAUGGAAUAUUAUUCUGUCCUUAAAAAGGAGGGAAAUCUUGCCAUUUGUAACAAUAUGGUUGAAACUGGAGGACAUUAUGAAAUGAAGGUGAAGCUCUUCCGAACAUUCGUGAUCAACCAACAUAAAAUUCAUCUUGAACUUUGAUAUAUUACUCUUGCAACAAGACCCAUAAAGAAUGGCUAUGCCACUAUACCUCUGUUCUCAAAAGGAGUUGACCAGACAGUGUAGGUGGAGAAGGAAAAACUCAGAAGCACUUUUGGAUAAACUGCUCAAAGUAGUUGCACUACUUACAAUGGCUCAGCAGAGUCUUCUGCAUGAACAAAGACAGUGAACGUGAGUGAGGUAUGAAACAUAAUGCAGAUAAUGCACAAGUUAUGUCCUUCAAGGCCAUGAAUGAUUGUGGCCAACCUUGGAAAAGAAGUCAGGCAUCCCAUGAGUAGAAUUAAAAAAAAAAAAAUGAAGUCAACUCCUGAGCCACACAGAGAAUACCUGUAUACACACUCUUCUGAGCUUCUGCAACCACAGAAAACCACGGGGGAGAUCAUGUGAACAGAGAGCCUCUCUUCCUAGCCUCUGGCAGCAUUAUCUCAUGUGAUCCUUCUACAAUCAUGUAAGCCAUUCUGAUGGGUGUGAGGUGACACCUCCUUAUAGUUUAGAUUUGCAUCUUCCUGAUGAAGACAAGCAUGCAUCCAGUUUCUCCAAAACUUGUCAUCAGUCAAUACACAACUGGCUUAAAAAAUAA